rnacentral:rRNA from 1 species
GACGAACCGUGCGAACGUUGUUCGGAAUCACUGGGCUUAAAGGGCGCGUAGGCGGGCCGACAAGUCCGGGGUGAAAGCCCCCAGCUCAACUGGGGAAGUGCCUUGGAAACUGUCGGUCUCGAGGGAGGUAGGGGUCUGUGGAACUUCGGGUGGAGCGGUGAAAUGCGUUGAUAUCCGAAGGAACGCCGGUGGCGAAAGCGACGGACUGGAUCUCUUCUGACGCUGAGGCGCGAAAGCCAGGGGAGCAAACGGG